rnacentral:lncRNA from 1 species
UAAUUUCAAGGGGUCCAUUUUCAUUUCAAUAACAUCCAAUGUCAUUACACAAAGUCAAGAAUCAAUUCUACACAAAAUUACACAUUUGAACUAUAGUUAACUUUUAGUCAGUUGUUGACUUUUUGGUCAAACAGUUGACCAAAGUCAACUAACUAUCCUAAACCCUAAUUAUACUUUUAUUCAUUCACAAGACAUCCCUCCAAACCUUCAAGUCUCUAAAACAUUUUCAUGAAAGCACCUUGACCCAUGCCUUGCCCAAACCUUCAUGCCUUGACCAAAAUCUUCAUGAGCAUAUCUUUAUUUCAAGUCCAAUACCAACCCUGGAAUAGUGAAAUUAAGCUAGCACCACGUAAAUAUCACCACAAAUCAUAAUUCAAUUUAACUGCAACCAUAACAUCCACACAAUACAUAACCAAGUUCUAAUUGUUUUUAGCAUUUCCCUAUAGUAGUUCAUAACAAAUCAAGUCCAUUACUCUAGUUAUCACUAACAAUUACAAUUUAACUUUGAUUCAGAUCCUCUAACUUCUAACAUCUGUUGAGUCCCAUUUCUUUUUUAAAAAAAUACAACUUAUUCUAUUUAGCAUAGUAGUUUAAUUGACCUAUUAGCUAAUUCCAAGCUUCAUCAGCAAACAAUCCAGCCUUUAGCAAUGUAAGCAAAGAAACUAACAUUAAUACAAUUCUAGUUAGCAUGGCUUUGCAAUUGAUAUAACAUAACACAUUUAGCUCAAUCCAAACAGUCAUUAGUGUACUAACAUUUCACAGCCAUAUUCUAUCCUAUAAUCAUUCUUUCACUAACAAUGCCAUAAGAAUUCAAACUUUAGUUGAUUUCCUUGAUAGUCUACACAUUCAGUUUAGUAUAUUACAAACUAAUUAUAACCGUCUACUUAACUGACUCUUUCCAUAAUAAUCCUAACCUAUUUCAUUUAAGCAUUUCAUUAAUUAAUCUUCACUAACUGUAAGAGUAACAACUUCUAACAUCAUAACUAACAUAGCUUAAAUUCACAUCCAGUUCAGGUCAUAACAUCACAUAACAUCUAACAGUCUACCAACAAUUUAACUAACUUUUUUACCAGCCAUGCUAACAUACUCAGUUCAAUCCAAGUCUCAUCCAGGCAUUCAUUUUAAGCAUAACAUUAUUUCAAUAUAACUAACUAUAACUAAAUUUUUGCUAACAUCCCCUAACAGUCAUUUAAACAUCAACUAACCUAACUCAUUACUUUCCGCUUUAACUAACUGUAACUGCCAAUUUAAACAAUGUUGAAAUAUUGAAUCUCCCUAACUAUCAAACCAAGUCCAAAACCUCCUAACUAACAAUCGACUCGAAUUAACUGAAUUAACAGAGCACUAACAGAGUUAUAAACUCCUAACAAACUUCCUCUUAAAAAUAACUAACUUUAACAGUGCCCUAACCAUAACAACCAUUACCAUAAUCCUUUUCCUGAGGUUGGAAAAAGUGAAGGAGAAAAAAUAAAUGUAUAUACAUUUCGAGAAAACUGUAGAAUAUAUAUAUAUAUAUAAAUAUAUUCCUCAUUCCAUCUUCAAUCUCUAAGAAUAAUCGAUUUUCUACAAACUCGGAAUUCACCACUCUCUCUCCCUCACACCAAAGCUCAAAACACUCCAUUGUUAAGCAAGCUUCGCCUUGAAGCUUGCCACAAAAAGAGCUCAGUCUCCAUUACACUCUUUCACUACCCUAUUCUUUCCUACACCGCUAAUCAACAACAAUUGCUACAUAAUUUCACAGCCUAUAGACUACGGCAAGGAUAAGAAUAAGACGUUGGUGUGAAUAAGGAAAAAUACUUUGAAGUUACCUGGAUAUUCCUCUGGUCUUCUCUUUGUAAGCUUCAUCAUCAUCUCCAACAAAAUCCAAGACAAUCCUUAGUCUUACAGGCCAUUGACACAUUUCUCUUCUUCCUUUGUUUGCUUGAAGUUUGAUACCACAAUGUAGUAUUCAUGAAGGGGAAUAAAAGCCCCUAGGGGGAGUGGCUUGAUUCCUCUCCUUCUUAAUGGAGUUUAGUUAGAAUUGAGGUGAGAUUAAGAGAAAGGAGGUGGAGAGGGUUGUUUUGGUGGUAUUAAUGGUCGUGUUAGCCCAACUCUGCC